GAACUUCCGUUAAUUGAUUAUGACGUACUUGUACUGAUUGAGAUUUUAACACGAAGUGAGUGGCGAACGGGUGAGUAACACGUGGGUAACCUGCCCAGAAGUAGGGGAUAACACCUGGAAACAGAUGCUAAUACCGUAUAACAGAGAAAACCGCAUGGUUUUCUUUUAAAAGAUGGCUCUGCUAUCACUUCUGGAUGGACCCGCGGCGUAUUAGCUAGUUGGUGAGGUAAAGGCUCACCAAGGCAGUGAUACGUAGCCGACCUGAGAGGGUAAUCGGCCACAUUGGGACUGAGACACGGCCCAGACUCCUACGGGAGGCAGCAGUAGGGAAUCUUCCACAAUGGACGCAAGUCUGAUGGAGCAACGCCGCGUGAGUGAAGAAGGGUUUCGGCUCGUAAAGCUCUGUUGUUAAAGAAGAACGUGGGUAAGAGUAACUGUUUACCCAGUGACGGUAUUUAACCAGAAAGCCACGGCUAACUACGUGCCAGCAGCCGCGGUAAUACGUAGGUGGCAAGCGUUAUCCGGAUUUAUUGGGCGUAAAGCGAGCGCAGGCGGUCUUUUAAGUCUAAUGUGAAAGCCUUCGGCUCAACCGAAGAAGUGCAUUGGAAACUGGGAGACUUGAGUGCAGAAGAGGACAGUGGAACUCCAUGUGUAGCGGUGAAAUGCGUAGAUAUAUGGAAGAACACCAGUGGCGAAGGCGGCUGUCUGGUCUGCAACUGACGCUGAGGCUCGAAAGCAUGGGUAGCGAACAGGAUUAGAUACCCUGGUA
rnacentral:rRNA from 1 species